rnacentral:misc_RNA from 1 species
GUUUUAUUUGAGGUUAUAGCUCAUGCUACAUUAAUAUUUAACAUUUUGCUGUUUUUGUACAACCAGUGGAAGAGGUGAUUUCACUUUUUCUCUUCUUCAGAUGUCUGCUUUUGCUUUGUUUCUGAUUCUGAUAACACUUUCUGCUCGUAGAUGACUUGAGAAAGCAAACCCACCAAGAUCACUCCAAGAACUGCACUCUUUCCCAGGUCAGACGGUGAAGAGAUCAAGGCAUUCGUAAUCCCAACUACCACGAGGCCCAUAAGUGCAAGGUAGAUAUUCUUUCUAGUAUUUGACUCAGCAAUUUCUUUAUUGAGUUGCUUCAUCUUCUCUGUUUCCUUCUUAGCUUUUGCUUUAUCCACCGGUUGUUUUUGCCCUAAGUUCUUAAAGAAAAGCCCUUCAUUUUUCUCCUCCUCCAUUUGGUCUACGAAAUCUGCCAGCUUCUUCUCGUUCUCUUCAAUCUCCUGUUUGUUUAACUCUACUGAUUCCUCAAAAGCUUGCAUCCGGCUCUCU